rnacentral:rRNA from 1 species
CAGUAGCCACGGUAAUACGAAGGGUGCAAGCGUUAAUCGGAAUUACUGGGCGUAAAGCGUGCGUAGGCGGUUUGUUAAGUCUGCUGUGAAAUCCCCGGGCUCAACCUGGGAAUGGCAGUGGAUACUGGCAAGCUAGAGUGUGUCAGAGGAUGGUGGAAUUCCCGGUGUAGCGGUGAAAUGUGUAGAGAUCGGGAGGAACAUCAGUGGCGAAGGCGGCCAUCUGGGACAACACUGACGCUGAGGCACGAAAGCGUGGGGAGCAAACAGGAUUAGAUACCCCCGUAGUCCCUGUCUCUUAUAC